AGAGUUUGAUCCUGGCUCAGGACGAACGCUGGCGGCGUGCCUAACACAUGCAAGUCGAGCGGAGACAGUGAGUAGCUUGCUAUGAGCUGUUUUAGCGGCGGACGGGUGAGUAACGCGUGAGCAACCUUUCCCAGACAGGGGAAUAACACACCGAAAGGUGUACUAAUACCGCAUAAGACCACGGGAUCACAUGGUUCUGAGGUAAAAGAUUUAUCGGUUUGGGGUGGGCUCGCGUCCGAUUAGGUAGUUGGUGAGGUAACGGCCCACCAAGCCGACGAUCGGUAGCCGACCUGAGAGGGUGAUCGGCCACAUUGGGACUGAGACACGGCCCAAACUCCCACGGGAGGCAGCAGUGGGGAAUAUUGGGCAAUGGGGGGGAACCCUGACCCAGCAAACGCCGCGUGGAGGAAAGAAGGUUUCGGAUCGUAAACUCCUUGUCUUGGAGACGAAGUAAAAGACGGUUAUCCAGGAAGGAGCCCCGGCUAACUACAUGCCAGCACCCCCGGUAAUACGUAGGGGCAAACGUUGUCCGGAAUAAAUUGGCGUAAGGGGCGCGUUAGGCCGUUCCGGUAAUCUUGGAAUGAAAAUCCCGGUUUUUAAGGGGGGGAUUGCUUUUGAAACUGGUCGGGCUUGAUGGCGGGAAAGGUUAGUGGAAUUCCCAGUGUAGCGGUGAAAUGCGUAGAGAUUGGGAGGAACACCAGUGGCGAAGGCGACUAACUGGACUGUAACUGACGCUGAGGCGCGAAAGUGUGGGGAGCAAACAGGAUUAGAUACCCUGGUAGUCCACACUGUAAACGAUGAAUGCUAGGUGUAGGGGGUAUCGACCCCUUCUGUGCCGCAGUCAACACAAUAAGCAUUCCGCCUGGGGAGUACGGCCGCAAGGUUGAAACUCAAAGGAAUUGACGGGGGCCCGCACAAGCAGCGGAGCAUGUGGUUUAAUUCGACGCAACGCGAAGAACCUUACCAGGUCUUGACAUCCACUUAAACUUACAGAGAUGUAAGGUGUGCUUGCACAAAGUGAGACAGGUGGUGCAUGGUUGUCGUCAGCUCGUGUCGUGAGAUGUUGGGUUAAGUCCCGCAACGAGCGCAACCCUUAUCUUCAGUUACUAACGCGUGAGGGUGAGGACUCUGAAGAGACUGCCGGGGACAACUCGGAGGAAGGUGGGGACGACGUCAAAUCAUCAUGCCCCUUAUGACCUGGGCUACACACGUGCUACAAUGGCCACGACAGAGAGAAGCGAAAUCGCAAGGUAGAGCGGAACUCAAAAAAGUGGUCCCAGUUCGGAUUGUGGGCUGCAACCCGCCCACAUGAAGUCGGAGCUGCUAGUAAUCGCGGAUCAGCAUGCCGCGGUGAAUACGUUCCCGGGCCUUGCACACACCGCCCGUCA
rnacentral:rRNA from 1 species